AGAACGAACGCUGGCGGCAUGCCUAACACAUGCAAGUCGAACGGGCCCUUCGGGGCUAGUGGCGCACGGGUGCGUAACGCGUGGGAAUCUGCCCUUAGGUUCGGAAUAACUCAGGGAAACUUGAGCUAAUACCGUAUAAUGACUUCGGUCCAAAGAUUUAUCGCCUAGGGAUGAGCCCGCGUAGGAUUAGCUUGUUGGUGAGGUAAAGGCUCACCAAGGCGACGAUCCUUAGCUGGUCUGAGAGGAUGAUCAGCCACACUGGGACUGAGACACCGGCCAGACUCCGUACGGGAGGCAGCAGGUGGGGAAUUAGUUAGGACGAAGUGGGGACGUAAAAGCCCGUA
rnacentral:rRNA from 1 species